rnacentral:rRNA from 1 species
UACGUAGGGAGCAAGCGUUGUCCGGAAUCAUUGGGCGUAAAGCGCGCGUAGGUGGCCUCAUAAGUCCGUUGUGAAAGUCAAAGGCUCAACCUUUGAAAGCCGAUGGAUACUGUGAGGCUAGAGUACGGAAGAGGCGAGUGGAAUUCCUGGUGUAGCGGUGGAAUGCGCAGAUAUCAGGAGGAACACCGAUGGCGAAGGCAGGUCUCUGGGCAUUAACUGACGCUGAGGAGCGAAAGCAUGGGGAGCGAACAGG